UACGGAGGGGGCCAGCGUUGUUCGGAAUUAUUGGGCGUAAAGGGCGCGUAGGCGGCCGAAUAAGUCUGACGUGAAAUCCCCCGGCUCAACCGGGGAACUGCGUUUGAAACUGUUCGGCUCGAGUCCGGGAGAGGGUAGUGGAAUUCCCAGUGUAGCGGUGAAAUGCGUAGAUAUUGGGAGGAACACCGGUGGCGAAGGCGGCUACCUGGACCGGUACUGACGCUGAGGCGCGAAAGCUAGGGUAGCAAACAGG
rnacentral:rRNA from 1 species